rnacentral:rRNA from 1 species
GGGUUGUGAGGUUAAGCGACUAAGCGUACACGGUGGAUGCCCUGGCAGUCAGAGGCGAUGAAGGACGUGCUAAUCUGCGAAAAGCGCCGGCGAGGUGAUAUGAACCCUUGACCCGGCGAUGUCCGAAUGGGGAAACCCAGUGUGAUUCGUCACACUAUCGUUAGCUGAAUACAUAGGCUAACGAGGCGAACCGGGGGAACUGAAACAUCUAAGUACCCCGAGGAAAAGAAAUCAACCGAGAUUCCCCCAGUAGCGGCGAGCGAACGGGGAGCAGCCCGGAGUCUGAAUCAGCUUGUGUGUUAGUGGAAGCGUCUGGAAAGUCGCAGGGUACAGGGUGAUACUCCCGUACACGAAAGCACACUUGCUGUGAACUCGAAGAGUAGGGCGGGACACGUGGUAUCCUGUCUGAAUAUGGGGGGACCAUCCUCCAAGGCUAAAUACUCCUGACUGACCGAUAGUGAACCAGUACCGUGAGGGAAAGGCGAAAAGAACCCCGGCGAGGGGAGUGAAAAAGAACCUGAAACCGUGUACGUACAAGCAGUGGGAGCACCUUCGGGUGUGACUGCGUACCUUUUGUAUAAUGGGUCAGCGACUUAUAUUCUGUAGCAAGGUUAACCGUAUAGGGGAGCCGAAGGGAAACCGAGUCUUAACUGGGCGUUAAGUUGCAGGGUAUAGACCCGAAACCCGGUGAUCUAGCCAUGGGCAGGUUGAAGGUUGGGUAACACUAACUGGAGGACCGAACCGACUAAUGUUGAAAAAUUAGCGGAUGACCUGUGGCUGGGGGUGAAAGGCCAAUCAAACCGGGAGAUAGCUGGUUCUCCCCGAAAGCUAUUUAGGUAGCGCCUCGUGAAUUCAUCUCCGGGGGUAGAGCACUGUUUCGGCUAGGGGGCCAUCCCGGCUUACCAACCCGAUGCAAACUGCGAAUACCGGAGAAUGUUAUCACGGGAGACACACGGCGGGUGCUAACGUCCGUCGUGAAGAGGGAAACAACCCAGACCGCCAGCUAAGGUCCCAAAGUCAUGGUUAAGUGGGAAACGAUGUGGGAAGGCACAGACAGCCAGGAUGUUGGCUUAGAAGCAGCCAUCAUUUAAAGAAAGCGUAAUAGCUCACUGGUCGAGUCGGCCUGCGCGGAAGAUGUAACGGGGCUAAACCAUGCACCGAAGCUGCGGCAGCGACACUAUGUGUUGUUGGGUAGGGGAGCGUUCUGUAAGCCUGCGAAGGUGUGCCGUGAGGCAUGCUGGAGGUAUCAGAAGUGCGAAUGCUGACAUAAGUAACGAUAAAGCGGGUGAAAAGCCCGCUCGCCGGAAGACCAAGGGUUCCUGUCCAACGUUAAUCGGGGCAGGGUGAGUCGACCCCUAAGGCGAGGCCGAAAGGCGUAGUCGAUGGGAAACAGGUUAAUAUUCCUGUACUCGGUGUUACUGCGAAGGGGGGACGGAGAAGGCUAUGUUGGCCGGGCGACGGUUGUCCCGGUUUAAGCAUGUAGGCGGAGGUUCCAGGUAAAUCCGGUACCUUUUAACGCUGAGGUGUGAUGACGAGGCACUACGGUGCUGAAGCAACAAAUGCCCUGCUUCCAGGAAAAGCCUCUAAGCAUCAGGUAACAUCAAAUCGUACCCCAAACCGACACAGGUGGUCAGGUAGAGAAUACCAAGGCGCUUGAGAGAACUCGGGUGAAGGAACUAGGCAAAAUGGUGCCGUAACUUCGGGAGAAGGCACGCUGAUAUGUAGGUGAAGCCCCUGCGGGUGGAGCUGAAAUCAGUCGAAGAUACCAGCUGGCUGCAACUGUUUAUUAAAAACACAGCACUGUGCAAACACGAAAGUGGACGUAUACGGUGUGACGCCUGCCCGGUGCCGGAAGGUUAAUUGAUGGGGUUAGCGGCAACGCGAAGCUCUUGAUCGAAGCCCCGGUAAACGGCGGCCGUAACUAUAACGGUCCUAAGGUAGCGAAAUUCCUUGUCGGGUAAGUUCCGACCUGCACGAAUGGCGUAAUGAUGGCCAGGCUGUCUCCACCCGAGACUCAGUGAAAUUGAAAUCGCUGUGAAGAUGCAGUGUACCCGCGGCAAGACGGAAAGACCCCGUGAACCUUUACUAUAGCUUGACACUGAACACUGGUCCUUGAUGUGUAGGAUAGGUGGGAGGCUUUGAAGUGUGGACGCCAGUCUGCAUGGAGCCGUCCUUGAAAUACCACCCUUUAAUGGCUGGUGUUCUAACGUGGACCCGUAAUCCGGGUUGCGGACAGUGUCUGGUGGGUAGUUUGACUGGGGCGGUCUCCUCCUAAAGAGUAACGGAGGAGCACGAAGGUCAGCUAAUCCUGGUCGGACAUCAGGAGGUUAGUGCAAUGGCAUAAGCUGGCUUGACUGCGAGAGUGACGGCUCGAGCAGGUGCGAAAGCAGGUCAUAGUGAUCCGGUGGUUCUGAAUGGAAGGGCCAUCGCUCAACGGAUAAAAGGUACUCCGGGGAUAACAGGCUGAUACCGCCCAAGAGUUCAUAUCGACGGCGGUGUUUGGCACCUCGAUGUCGGCUCAUCACAUCCUGGGGCUGAAGUAGGUCCCAAGGGUAUGGCUGUUCGCCAUUUAAAGUGGUACGCGAGCUGGGUUUAGAACGUCGUGAGACAGUUCGGUCCCUAUCUGCCGUGGGCGCUGGAGAAUUGAGGGGGCUGCUCCUAGUACGAGAGGACCGGAGUGGACGCAUCACUGGUGUUCGGGUUGUCAUGCCAAUGGCACUGCCCGGUAGCUAAAUGCGGAAGAGAUAAGUGCUGAAAGCAUCUAAGCACGAAACUUGCCCCGAGAUGAGUUCUCCCUGACUCCUUGAGAGUCCUGAAGGAACGUUGAAGACGACGACGUUGAUAGGCCGGGUGUGUAAGCGCAGCGAUGCGUUGAGCUAACCGGUACUAAUGAACCGUGAGGCUUAACCUUACAACGCCGAAGCUGUU